GGUUGAUACCAUUCCAUUGACGAUAUUCCAGCCAUUAAUAUGAGCCGUCCUCUCAGCAGCCCCCACUGCCUAGUUUAUAAAGGGAAAAACUUUAUUAAGCUACUUCGAUGUUGAAGAGACUUUCGUAGCAGGUUAGGAGACUGACGUUAACGUUAGGAAAAUUAUAAACUAAAACGCUUUCCUAACCUGCUAAGAAAAUCACUAUCGAAGUGGUUAAGUGUCCCUAGUUUCUAAGGUAACAUGAUGGAGAAAAGCCCUCAAGUUUACGACCUGUUAAAGUUCACGCCGACACAACAACUGACUAAGGCGACAAUUGCAAAUAAGUUUAAAACUUAGGUUACAUUUGAGCUGUCAGGCAGGUGAAUAUAUAUAUUUUUUGACGAUAAUCUUGGUCCAAUGAAGGCAUCCCGGUGUUGUGGAGAAGGUGGCCACGUGACGGAGCCAGGCUGCAAUACAGCUGUCGGUCGUUUAAUACACUGCGCCGGAGAAGCAAGCGGGGUAGAAAGACUCGACGAGAGAAGAAUAAAAUCUAUUCCGAACAAAUAUUAUACUCACUCGUUGCGACACAACAGACCAUGGACGGUUAUGCGCUGACAGAAGAUGAGCUGUUUUCCUCCUGCCUCCCGAAUCUCACCUGGGAGAAUUCCUACGAGCAGGCACAGGGGUUCAAGCUGCGCCAGCCAAGUCAUGUUUUUGAGUCUCAACCAGAGUGGAGCCUCAGCGGCGUUGAGCGAAGUGGACAGGCUGAGGCUCCACGGCUGCAGCUCCAGCACAGCCCAGCGCCCUGUAAUCAGUGAAGUGCUGGAGUGCUGCAGCAGCGGCCCCAACAGUCAUGGAGCUUUUGACAAAUUGGAGAGAGUUAGCUACUGCUCAGUUCAUUGCACAGUCC
rnacentral:lncRNA from 1 species